rnacentral:rRNA from 1 species
AUUGAACGCUGGCGGAAUGCCUUACACAUGCAAGUCGAACGGCAGCACGGACUUCGGUCUGGUGGCGAGUGGCGAACGGGUGAGUAAUGCAUCGGAACGUGCCCAGUCGUGGGGGAUAACGUAGUGAAAAUUACGCUAAUACCGCAUACGAUCUAUGGAUGAAAGCGGGGGAUCGCAAGACCUCGCGCGAUUGGAGCGGCCGAUAUCAGAUUAGGUAGUUGGUGGGGUAAAGGCCCACCAGGCCAACGAUCUGUAGCUGGUCUGAGAGGACGACCAGCCACACUGGAACUGAGACACGGUCCAGACUCCUACGGGAGGCAGCAGUGGGGAAUUUUGGACAAUGGGCGAAAGCCUGAUCCAGCCAUUCCGCGUGCAGGAUGAAGGCCCUCGGGUUGUAAACUGCUUUUGUACAGAACGAAAAGGUUUCUACUAAUACUAGGAGCUCAUGACGGUACUGUAAGAAUAAGCACCGGCUAACUACGUGCCAGCCGCCGCGGUAA